UGAAUACGAGAUGCUACGGCGUCGAAGCAGUGUAUGUCAGACUUCCAAGAAAAGCUCGCAAUGUCAUAAAUAAAGAAUGCCUGUACCAUAACCGACACAGGUGGGUAGGUAGAGUAUACUAAGGGGCGCGAGAUAACUCUCUCUAAGGAACUCGGCAAAAUAACUCCGUAACUUCGGGAGAAGGAGUGCCUUCUUUAAGAAGGUUGCAAUAACAAGAUCCAAGCAACUGUUUAUCAAAAACACAGGUCUCCGCUAAGUCGUAAGACGAUGUAUGGGGGCUGACGCCUGCCCAGUGCCAGAAGGUUAAAGAAGCUGGUUAGCAAUAGCGAAGCUGGUGACUGAAGCCCUGGUGAACGGCGGCCGUAACGAUAACGGUCCUAAGGUAGCGAAAUUCCUUGUCGGGUAAGUUCCGACCCGCACGAAAGGCGUAAUGAUUUGGAUACUGUCUCGGAGAGGGACUCGGUGAAAUAGACUUGUCUGUGAAGAUGCGGACUACCUGCACCAGGACAGAAAGACCCUAUGAAGCUUUACUGUAACCUGAAAUUGAAAUUGGACUUUAUUUGCGCAGUAUAGGUGGGAGGCGUUGAAAGUAAUCUUGCGGGAUUAGUGGAGCCAUCAGUGAGAUACCACUCCUAUAAUGUUAGAUUUCUAACUUUGGAUCAUGAUCUGGUCAAAGAACAGUUUCAGGCGGGCAGUUUGACUGGGGCGGUCGCCUCCCAAAUGGUAACGGAGGCGUACAAAGGUUUCCUCUGAACGGGUAGAAAUCGUAUCUAGAGUGUAAAGGCAUAAGGAAGCUUGACUGUGAGACCUACAAGUCGAGCAGGGACGAAAGUCGGUCUUAGUGAUCUGACGGUGCUGAGUGGAAAGGCCGUCACUCAACGGAUAAAAGUUACUCUAAGGAUAACAGGCUGAUCUCCCCCAAGAGUUCACAUCGACGGGGAGGUUUGGCACCUCGAUGUCGGCUCAUCGCAUCCUGGGGCGGUAGUACGUCCCAAGGGUUGGGCUGUUCGCCCAUGAAAGCGGUACGCGAGCUGGGUUCAGAACGUCGUGAGACAGUUCGGUCCAUAUCCGGUGUAGGCGUUAGAAUAUUGAGAGGAGCCUUCUCUAGUACGAGAGGACCGAGAAGGACAUACCUCUGGUGUACCAGUUAUCGUGCCAACGGUAAACGCUGGGUAGCUAUGUAUGGAGAGGAUAACCGCUGAAAGCAUCUAAGUGGGAAGCCCACCUCAAGAUGAGUAUUCUCAUC
rnacentral:rRNA from 1 species